rnacentral:rRNA from 1 species
UACGUAGGGGGCAAGCGUUAUCCGGAUUUACUGGGUGUAAAGGGAGCGUAGACGGCAGGGCAAGUCUGGAGUGAAAGCCCGGGGCCCAACCCCGGGACUGCUUUUGAAACUGUGUGACUGGAGUGCAGGAGAGGUAAGCGGAAUUCCUGGUGUAGCGGUGAAAUGCGUAGAUAUCAGGAGGAACACCAGUGGCGAAGGCGGCCUGCUGGACGGUGACUGACGCUGAGGCUCGAAAGCGUGGGGAGCAAACAGG